rnacentral:lncRNA from 1 species
AUUUGGCUAACAUUUGAAAAAAUGACAGCUAAAUCUCUAUUUUAAAUCCUUUCUAAAGUAAAUCCCAGUGGUAUAAAAUCAGCAAAAGGUAGCGUAAAAAAAUAGUGAAAAGGAAAGGAAAGCCAUCUUGGUGGAGAUAUCAGCAACUUUUAUAACUAGAUUACAUAAGAGACCUCUAUGCAUCAGUAAGAGAAAAAGUCAUAAGCCAGGGGAGAUGGACAAAUUAUUUGAAAAACUACCACAACAUAGGAGAGGAUUAAACAUGUUCACUGGCAAGUUGUAUUUCCAUGUUGUCCUUCUACAACAAUGUACCCAAGCACACAUUGCUGCCCUGUGAACACCAAGGACAUCCGCCAGAGGUCGGGGUCACCAGGACGCUGACAUUCUGGAAGUAAACAACGUUAAUGGACAGAUGGGCUUGCUUCUAACAUGCAGAGGAUGGACAAAUAAAGCAUUAGCUUUGCAGAGAAAAAAUCUGGCAGUCACCAUCUCAACCAAGUGAUCAAGUUCAACAUCACCAGUGAACAUCAUGUUGACACCAUGUAUCCUUGACAUAGCACAAUGAGAAAGACACUUCACUUCUAUGAGUUUCUUCCCAAACUCCAUAUCCCACACUUCUGCUUUCAACUCCGACAUGUAAAUAGCUUGAAAGUUGUCACUCCUAUUCUGGUAACAGUAAAAAGCUGGAGGAACUGAAAAUAAAUGACUUUUAUUGGACCCAUCGGGGAACCAGGGUCAUAGCACAAGUAUGCACCCAAAAUAUGGAGAGACAGGCAGGCCCAAAGAGAUACAGCUACUAAGAUCUCGUGAUCAGGAGCA